GCGCAGUGGGCGGCACAGGCUGCUUCCUCCAGGCUGCAGCUUGCUUGCGCGGGAACCGUCCACCCCUGGGCGUGAGUCGGGGCGUUGCCCUGAAGGGGAGAGUCCCUGGAAGAUGAGGGGUGGGGUCCGUGGUGGCUCCGACUGGUCUAGGCUGGAUUUUGCAGGCGCAGACCGCUGGUGAGGUGCGUCCUGGAGCUGGGGUGGGCCCUGUGGCCCCAGGCCCUGGGGUGCCCCUGCACCUGGGAGCUGGUUCUGGAGAGAUGCGGCCUUGCGGCGGCGCCACGAGGGCCCGAGGCGGCUGCAGAGCCUCGGGAAAGGGCACUGCAAACGAGUAGAUACUUGGAGAGCUUUCCUUUUGAAACAGGCUGAAGGACCAAGUGGUGUGCUGGUGCCUGAGCUUCUGCAGCAGCUUCCAGAACCGACCUGCGAUGCAUCCGGCGGUGCCCUGUUGACGUGGGCUGUGGUGGAGAGCUGAGCUACUGGGAUGGGCCAACCCUCCAAGGGCUCCUUUCCUCCCAGCAAGGAUUGGCCUUUUUCUGCCGGUUCCCACUGUGCUCAUCAGCUGUGGUAUGGCCUGUGUCACAGCAUCCCCUCUGAUCUCCUGGUUUCUGGUCUUCCACAGUGCUGCCAGGGAGAAGAAUUUGUCGUAGGAGAGUCCAGAAUGAGAAAAACAAUGACAAUUUGAAAAGGAUACCUCCCUUACUUUAGAACAGUGCAUGAAAUUUCCUUUUAUGGUGAGUGUCAGCCUUCGGUUUAGGUCGUGAUCCCCAGGGUCUUGGGAUCGAGUCCCUCAUCCCUCUGCCUGUGUCUCUGCCUCUCUUUCUGUGUGUCUCAUGAAUAAAGAAAUAAUGAAAUCUUAAAAAAAAAGUGCAAAGCUGGGGCACCUGGGUGGCUCAAUCCAUUCCAUGUUCAGCAUCUGACUCUUGAUCUUAGCCCAGGUCUUGAUCUCUGGGUUGUGAGUUCAAGCCCCAUGUUGAGCUCCUCACUGGGCAUGGAGCCUACUUAAAAAAAAAAAAAAAAAAAGUGCAAAGCCAACUGUUCAGCCAGCGCCUCUGGCAAAUGGAUUUCUGGCAGAUUUGCCCAAACGUAGCUAGAGCACAAGGACAAGGCAGGGAGUGUUUGGGAGCCGCAGCGGUCCAGUCAUGUAGGCCUUGGUGACAAGGAGGAGUUUUAAGCCAGGGACAGGCGAUCCUGCCAGUUUUCCAUGGCAGAACCAUGAAUGCACAUCUGAUGUGCCAAGUGUGAGCCCAGCUUCUCUCCUACAGGCUGCUUCCGGAGCCCUUCCUAUUUGCCAUAGCCCAGCUCUGCCCCUUACCAGCUGCAUGACCUGGUGCAGGUGCAUUCGGUCCUCUGGCACCAAUAUCCUCAAGUGAAAAAUAGGGGUACUAACAGAACUCACAGAGAUUUGUGAGAUUAAAGGAGGUAAUGUAAGGGCUGUGCUUAGCACCAUGACUGGACCAGAAUAUGAGUAAAUUAUGAAGACAGUAGUCUUUAUAGUAGAAGUAGCAGUGGCAGUAACAAUAGCAGUGGUACAGAUACUCUUACUAGGGUAGAGGAGCUGCCCAGGGAACCAGUACCCCGGGAGUUGGGACAAGUCCUCUUAUUGUGCACUCCAGCUGAAGAGGUGGGGGAAGGGGAAGCUUGUGAGAAAGGGGGCACAAAAGGUGUCCUCUGAUCACCCUCCUCCCCUUGUGGACUAUGGA
rnacentral:lncRNA from 1 species